GGGGUGCUUAUAGGUUUAAAAUCGUUAUAUAAAUGUUAUACUGUGAUUUUAAAAACAAAUGUUGAGAUCUUUUUAUAAUAUUUACAAAAAAACGGUGCAGGAAAUGGACAUGAUUACAUUUCCGGAUGCGGGAAACGGGAAUAUAAUAAAAAUAAAAAAAAUCUGUUUUGAAAAAAAUAGGUGCGGGCGGGUCCGUCGAACAAGGAAUUAAAUUGGUGUGGCCUAAUACAUAAAUUUCUC
rnacentral:lncRNA from 1 species